rnacentral:rRNA from 1 species
ACUCCUACGGGAGGCAGCAGUGGGGAAUAUUGCACAAUGGGGGAAACCCUGAUGCAGCCAUGCCGCGUGUGUGAAGAAGGCCUUCGGGUUGUAAAGCACUUUCAGUAGGGAGGAAGGUGGUGUCGUUAAUAGCGGCAUCAUUUGACGUUAGCAACAGAAGAAGCACCGGCUAACUCCGUGCCAGCAGCCGCGGUAAUACGGAGGGUGCGAGCGUUAAUCGGAAUUACUGGGCGUAAAGCGCAUGCAGGUGGUUUGUUAAGUCAGAUGUGAAAGCCCGGGGCUCAACCUCGGAACUGCAUUUGAAACUGGCAGACUAGAGUACUGUAGAGGGGGGUAGAAUUUCAGGUGUAGCGGUGAAAUGCGUAGAGAUCUGAAGGAAUACCGGUGGCGAAGGCGGCCCCCUGGACAGAUACUGACACUCAGAUGCGAAAGCGUGGGGAGCAAACAGGAUUAGAUACCCUGGUAGCACAGAG